AUAUCUCUCUGUACGGGAAGGAUGAGAAGCUUCGACUAAGGUUCGAUUCGAGCGCAGCGAGAAAGCGUUGCCAACGGCAACGACCCGAAGGGCGAAGCGCGCAGCGCUGAGUAAUCCUUCCCCCACCACCA
rnacentral:sRNA from 9 species